rnacentral:rRNA from 1 species
CGCGCAGGCGGCCUGGUCAGUCAGAUGUGAAAGCCCGGGGCUCAACCUCGGAAGUGCAUUUGAUACUGCUAGGCUUGAGUAUGGGAGAGGGAAGUGGAAUUCCUGGUGUAGAGGUGAAAUUCGUAGAUAUCAGGAGGAACACCGAUGGCGAAGGCGACUUCCUGGACCAAUACUGACGCUGAGGCGCGAAGGCGUGGGGAGCAAACA